rnacentral:rRNA from 1 species
UACGAAGGGGGCUAGCGUUGUUCGGAAUUACUGGGCGUAAAGGGCGCGUAGGCUGUGCUGUAAGUCAGGCGUGAAAGCCCCGGGCUCAACCUGGGAAUUGCGCUUGAUACUGCGGCGCUGGAAGGUGGGAGAGGAUGGCGGAAUUCCCAGUGUAGAGGUGAAAUUCGUAGAUAUUGGGAAGAACACCGGUGGCGAAGGCGGCUAUCUGGACCGACAUUGACGCUGAGGCGCGAAAGCGUGGGGAGCAAACAGG